rnacentral:rRNA from 1 species
CCUACGGGGGGCAGCAGUGGGGAAUAUUGGGCAAUGGGCGCAAGCCUGACCCAGCCACGCCGCGUGAAGGAAGAAGGCUUUCGGGUUGUAAACUUCUUUUCUCAGGGACGAAGCAUGUGACGGUACCUGCGGAAUAAGCCACGGCUAACUACGUGCCAGCAGCCGCGUUAAUACGUAGGGGGCAAGCGUUAUCCGGAUUUACUGGGUGUAAAGGGCGUGUAGGCGGGGACGCAAGGCAGAUGUGAAAACCAUGGGCUCAAACUGUGGCCUGCAUUUGAAACUGUGUUUCUUGAGUACUGGAGAGGCAGGCGGAAGUCGUAGUGUAGCGGUGAAAUGCGUAGAUAUUAGGAGGAACACCAGUGGCGAAGGCGGUCUGCUGGACAGCAACUGACGCUGAGGCGCGAAAGCGUGGGGAGCAAACAGGAUUAGAUACCCGUGUAGUC